GAUGAACGCUGGCGGCGUGCCUAAUACAUGCAAGUCGAGCGAACAGACGAGGAGCUUGCUCCUCUGACGUUAGCGGCGGACGGGUGAGUAACACGUGGAUAACCUACCUAUAAGACUGGGAUAACUUCGGGAAACCGGAGCUAAUACCGGAUAAUAUAUUGAACCGCAUGGUUCAAUAGUGAAAGACGGUUUUGCUGUCACUUAUAGAUGGAUCCGCGCCGCAUUAGCUAGUUGGUAAGGUAACGGCUUACCAAGGCAACGAUGCGUAGCCGACCUGAGAGGGUGAUCGGCCACACUAGAACUGAGACACGGUCCAGACUCCUACGGGAGGCAGCAGUAGGGAAUCUUACGCAAUGGGCGAAAGCCUGACGGAGCAACGCCGCGUGAGUGAUGAAGGUCUUCGGAUCGUAAAACUCUGUUAGUAGGGAAGAACAAAUGUGUAAGUAACUAUGCACGUCUUGACGGUACCUAAUCAGAAAGCCACGGCUAACUACGUG
rnacentral:rRNA from 1 species